rnacentral:lncRNA from 1 species
CACCACGAAGACCCUUCCCAUCCUUUGACCUUCCCAAGAAGGACACUUGACACAUGUUUAGUUUAGGAUAGUGACAGUGAUUAGAGGAAGGAGAAGAGACUCUGAAGCUGAGCCAUUUGUCUCCGCUGAAGAAAGAAACGACAACCUGUAGGGUCUCCUAUUCCCACAAACCUAUCUCCUCCUUUAUGUUACUUGAAUUAAUAAACUACCUUGUUUUGAAGAAACUCGAAGUCAGAUUCAAAUCAGAAGAACAAAGAAAGAGAAGGUGUUGGCUAGGCUGGCCAUUUAGCCUUGGCUAAACAACAAAGAACCAACAGGGACGGUCAGCCUGCCAGACAAGUGGGACUUCUGGGGGGUCAAGUACCAGUCAAGCCAUGAGAGAAGUAAACUCCAUUAUUCCCCAAGAGCCUACUCAUUGAGACACUGCCCCUAUUCAUCCUUGCCUUAACAUCAGCUCAGGGGUACCUCUCUGGAAGCUUAGUAUACCCACCAGAACUGUUAUGCAGAUCCAGUGAGAUAAGAUGGGAAGCAGAUCAUGAUCAUCCAGCCUCCCAAGGCAGUCCUUGUGAAGGCACCAAGGAAGAUGUGGUAAAAAUGUGGAUGGUUCUAUUCAGCCCCUUUCCAUUACCAAAGAAAUCAUUCAAGUCAUCAUACCUUCAUUACCUACUUUGUACCACAGCUAGGAGGAAAAUGCCACUAGAGAGAAGAAACAAAGAGGAAAAAGCUGAAAUGGACAGCUAAGACUUUGAACUUUGUAAAUUUGUUUAUAUAAGAAGAGGACAAAUGGAAAACAGGACUUAUAUGCAAGACUGAGUGUGGCAAAAUCAUAAAACAAAAUUAAUUUCACAUAAUAGGGAAAUAGCAUGUAACACUACAUAACUUGGAAUAAAGAAGAGAUCCGUCAGUCA